AAGACUUUAAGUUAAGCAAACUAGUAUCCUUCAAAGUUACCAAAAAAAGAAUUCUUUUAGGUCUUA
rnacentral:tRNA from 1 species